CUUAUAUUAGAUUGUAGACUUUUGCAGUUUCAUACCUUAAUUUGUAUUAAGAUUAAACAAUGUUAAAUAUUGUUGGUUAUCAAAAUGCUUAGUUGCAGGACUUGUUCUUAAGCAUGGUAUCUAUCUUUUAUUCCUUCUUUGUCUGUUUGAUGUUGGUCUGAACUUAGACUGCAUUUCUCCCUGUUUUCAACCAUGUUGAGGUCUAUAUUUUCUAUUUGUUGGUGCAG